GAAGCUAGAGUAAUGACUUGGUACUGACUGUGUCCUAGGGACGGUUCUAAGCACAUUCCCUACACAGACCUACUUAACUGACUCCGCAGCAGUAGACACCGUGGCUAUCCUCCUUCUGCAGAUGGGGAAACUGAGGCCCAGAGAGGUCCCACAGCUGAGAAGUGGAGGAGCUGGGAUAGGAGUGGGUGCUGACAGGUGAAUGAGACUGAUAGCAAAAGUGAGGAACAGAUGAUUUUUCUGGAAGAAAUUCUUACUGGCACGUCUUCAUGUGCUGCUAACUUGGGCAUUCACUGGUGCUUCACGUUUUGGAUGUGGAAUCAUCACUUUUAUCUGGACCCUUUGUUGUGGACGGAGAUUCCACUCAGGCGUGUUGGGCAGAAGGCAUCUUCCCUUGCUGCCAUGUUUUACCCUAGCCCCUCAUUACUGUGUUCAAGAAAUCAUUCCUCUUUCUACCCCUAAUUAUGCCUCUGGGUACUUUAUGCCAUACAAUUUGCAGUGCUUCUCUCUGGGAGGAGUCUACUUCCAGGUGUCAUUGGUAUCAUGCUGGGCCAUGUGAUUUGCUUUGGCCCAUGGAGUGAGAGGAAGCGAUGUAUGCCACAUCUGAGCACGAGUUUCUGGCAAACACCGAGGGCCAUUGCAGUUUGGCAUCUAUUUUCUCUCCCCUGCCACGUCCAGUGUGUCCUGGAGAGAAGCUGCUCCUUCAGCUUGGAUCCUGCAUAAAGAAACAGGAGCAGAGCCAUAGCCAACAUAUGAAAUGGGA